GACGAACGCUGGCGGCGUGCCUAAUACAUGCAAGUCGAGCGAUGAUUAAAGAUAGCUUGCUAUUUUUAUGAAGAGCGGCGAACGGGUGAGUAACGCGUGGGAAAUCUGCCGAGUAGCGGGGGACAACGUUUGGAAACGAACGCUAAUACCGCAUAACAAUGAGAAUCGCAUGAUUCUUAUUUGAAAGAAGCAAUUGCUUCACUACUUGAUGACCCCGCGUUGUAUUAGCUAGUUGGUAGUGUAAAGGACCACCAAGGCGAUGAUACAUAGCCGACCUGAGAGGGUGAUCGGCCAGACUGGGACUGAGUCACGGCCCAGACUCCUACGGGAGGCAGCAAUAGGGAAUCGUCGGCAAUGGGGGCAACCCUGACCGAGCAACGCCGCGUGAGUGAAGAAGGUUUUCGGAUCGUAAAACUCUGUUGUUAGAGAAGAACGUUAAGUAGAGUGGAAAAUUACUUAAGUGACGGUAUCUAACCAGAAAGGGACGGUUAACUACGUGCCAGCAGCCGCAGUAA
rnacentral:rRNA from 1 species